UUGAUUUGAGAUUUAUUUGAGAUUUUAGUUCAAUUAGGUUAUUUUUAUGCAUUUUUAAUUGAUUUAAUCAAUUUAUUAAUUGAUUUGAGAUUUAUUUGAGAUUUUAGUUCAAUUAGGUUAUUUUUAUGCAUUUUUAAUUGAUUUAAAAUAGUUUCUGACUUCUAAAAAUGCUGAAAUUUUUUUGUCAAACUUUAUUUGACCUUGUUGAACUUGGGAUAAUUCACUUGGACUUUUCAAAGUUGAUUUGAAGUGAAUUUGAAGUUUGACCUUUCUUUAUUAUUUUA
rnacentral:lncRNA from 1 species